rnacentral:SRP_RNA from 1 species
CUGUGCUAGCUGGGGAGGUAGCGGUGCCCUGUACUUGCAACCCGCUGUAGCAAGAGUGAUGCUUCGGCUGCGGCAGUAUCUUGUGAGGUCUGCCUCUAGCAAGUAGUGUUGAUAGUUGGGUCUUACGCAAUAUUCACUUAUGAACCGUGUCAGGUCUUGACGGAAGCAGCACUAAGUAAGACCGAAUAUGUGCCGUAAGGGUGCCUAAUUUGAGCUAACUACUAGAGUAACGCUUGUAAGGUAUUGUCAAAGCGAAGUGCACAG